UAUGGCCAUCCAUAUGUUGAAACACUAGUUCUCACAAAAUCACAGAAGUUAAGCAAUGUUGAGCUUGGUCAGUAACUUGAUGGGUGACUGCUUGGGAAUACCAAGU